UCGACUCACGACUUCCGGGCGCCCUGCCGCUCUGCUUUCAGGGAGUCCCCACGCCACCGCCACGUGGACGCAGUAGCCGUGGGGAAGUUUUCGCAAUGGCCGCCGGAACGGUCGCCGGCCGAUGCUCUCUGCGACGGAAAGAAAGCCGCCGGACCCACUUCCGAGCAUCAAGACAAAAAUCUCAGUCUUCGAGGAACUCACAGUGUAGCAGAAAAGACAAAGGAGGUAAACAGGAGGAGCAUGAAUAAUUCAUCUUGAUGUAAUCAUGCAAGACUCCUAAGAAGAUGUUAGGAGACCCUGUCAUCAUUCUUUUGGCCUCUAGUGUCCUUUAUCUUCAUGUUUGCUGGCUUCCUUUUACUACUAUGGAAAUACAACAUAUGCAAAAGUAGUGUUUUCACUGUUUAAAAACAUCGUCAGCAGCAUCAUCAUCAUUAACUGCACCAGGAAGCCAUGACUCCUUUCUGGACAAGGUGCACUUGCCUGUCAUCCUUCCAUCUCUUUCUUCCUCCUUGAAGUUCACAAUACCCAGUCCAGGAGCAUUGCAGAGAAUGCUAGGUGUGUCUGCAGACUUGACUUUAAAAGAAAACAAGUUCCUUCAAGUGAGUUCAUCAUGAUGGGAAUGAUAAUUUGUUUGAGAGAAUGUGUGUUCUUUGGCAAAGGAACUCCUGUUAUACCAUGACAGUAAUAAUAGCAGUAAUAAAAUCACCAAUAAUAAAUUUACUUUUGAAUUUA
rnacentral:lncRNA from 1 species